CUCCGUCCUCACCAAUGACGAAACAGUCUACGUUUGAAAAUAAAGAAACAGCGAGACAACUUUCAGCUGGAUUAACCAACGUGAUGCAGCUAUUUUCUCCAGUUUGACCUCAAAAAGAGUUCACCGUUACAGCGUGCGCGAGAGAGAGGUGGAAAAGAACAUCCACAUUAGCCGUCGUUUGAAGCCACGUAUUCAUUUUGCUCUUGCUGGAGACUGCGCGAGGAUAUUGCUUUCAAACUGAAAGAAAACGCAGCAACAGGUAAGACUUUAAAACUGCACGACAUUUUUCAGAGGACUAUGUUUUCAUUCAUGGCACGGGGCACAGUUUAGGACAUCCCCAGGCCAGAGCUCUGCGUCAGUAUUCAGAUAACUGUUAAAAUUGCAUCACGCCACAGAUGCCUAGCAUCUAAUGCUAGUGUGACAUUAAGUUGUCAGGAGUUUGAAAAUUAUCAAUAAGAAAUCCUAUAGUCGACUACGCCACCCGGCAUACACCGGGACAUAACAGCAACUUACAAAACAAGUACAAUACAAGAUAACAAAAUAAAUUAGGGAGGUGGCCAGCAAAGACCCUCAGAUUUCUAGCCCACACAAUACCCAUAACACACACACUCAAAAUCA
rnacentral:lncRNA from 1 species